CCUACGGGUGGCAGCAGUGAGGAAUAUUGGACAAUGGCCGAGAGGCUGAACCAGCCAAGUCGCGUGAGGGAAGAAUGUCCUAUGGAUUGUAAACCUCUUUUGUCAGGGAGAAAAGUCACCAACGUGUGGGUGUUGGAGAGUACCUGAAGAAAAAGCAUAGCCUAACUACGUUCCAGCCGCCGCGGUAAUACGGGGGAUGCGAGCGUUAUCCGGAUUUAGUGGGUUUAAAGGGUGCGUAGGCGGGUUAUCAAGUUAGUGGUAAAAUCGUGGAGCUCAACUCCAUCCAGCCGUGGAUACUGGUGAUCUUGAGUGAGCGAGAGGUAUGCGGAAUGCGUGGUGUAGCGGUGAAAUGCAUAGAUAUCACGCAGAACUCCGAUUGCGAAGGCAGCAUACCGGCGCCCGACUGACGCUGAGGGACGAAAGCGUGGGUAUCGAACAGGAUUAGAUACCCGGGUAGUC
rnacentral:rRNA from 1 species